GGUAACUCCACCUGACCGGGGCUAGCCUGUCUUUAUUUUCUAAAUCCUCUCGCCGUUUUCUCCCGGGGACCAUAGAGAGACCACCGACUCCCACAGCCUCUAAAAGCUUGGAACCCCUGACUUUGAAUGAAUGAAGUCCUGAAACACCUAGAGCUUUGACUGGCUUACACUAUUGGAAGUUUCCUCAAAAUUUAGAAAAGCUAUCUUUCCAUCUAAAAGACAAGUACUGGAAUGGUCUUGAAGGUGGCAGUGGCUGAUGAUGUGACCCUGAAGCAAAAGACCUUGAGUCUCACAGAUUUCUGGACAGGAAACAAAGACUUCCUGCGCUGCAUAUGAGCUGAUAAUUUGUUGGCAUAAAUGCAUCAGGCCACAAUGCCAAAAAGACAUCUUGCAAAAUAUUGGACAUAAUUUUGGGAAGAACUGUUAAGAUUUAUAAGUUUCUAUUUUGAAAGCAAUCAUAAAUUCCAGAGUUAGAGUUUAUUCACAAUUUACAAAAAUAAUUUUAAUUGUAUAGAGCAAGGCUAUUAAAAUUUUAGGGUUCUUAAUUUUCUAUGAAUUCUAGCUAUGACAAUUCAAAGAUUUCAAGAAAUUUAACAGAAGUCACUUGUUAGUGGUAGAACUUGAAGCAGAUUCUAAGAUCCUGGUUUUAGUAUAUAAGUUUUGAGCAAAGAAAAUGUAAGUCAGUAUUCACCUAAAUCUUGCAUGGACUGAAUCAUUUAAUUGUUUGGGCAAAACAUGGUACUAUGGGUAAAAAUAAACUGUAUUUCAGAAAAGAAGAGCUAAGUUUGAUACAGGUAAGUAUAUUUCAUCUGCUAGUUUGGGUGGACUUUAUCCUCAUAAAAUGUGGUCUAGUUAGAAGUAAUAAAUUUUGUUUAGGCUAUAUUUUUUAACAAGACUCUUUAUAGUGAAAAUCAUUCAUCCAAACCUCAAAAUCUUGAUUUUAAUUUGGAUCAGCCUGAACAGUUUAUCUCUUUCAAACAAUUCCUCAAGGGUCAUAACUUAACAUUUUGAAAAAGUAAGUGGGGAAUAACUGAGAAUGCUUGAACUCAUACUCUAAAAAGAACUGCAUGGUUUAUUGCACCAUCAGUUAAAACAUAAAUAUGUUCCCCAAACCAAAAAUAAUCUAAAAUAUGGUUGCAAUAUUAAUUAUAAUCCUUUCUCUUUAAUAAAUCAAAAUUUUCCUCAUUCUGUAGUUAAUAAAAUUGCCUGUUUUACCCCCCUGAGGUUCAGCAAGUCUACUGCACUCUUUUGCAGUGCAGUAUUUGCUGUCCUGUCUUAGUGUCCUUUGAUGGUUACAAUCCAAUUCAUUCUACACAACAAUGGCCAUUAAAUGAUAUAAUACAUUAAUCUAUGCACACAUUCUACAAGCUUGUUGGACAACCAUGUGUGGAGCAAUUUUUUCAUGACAAUAUAACAGAAAGUCAAAUAAAUUCUUGCUUUCAUGAGACUUACACUCCAGAGGGAACAGAAUAUUUGAACAGAUAUCAAUAGAAUAUCCUGUGUCUUCCAAGCCUUGUGCUGGAAACAAACAUGAAUAAAAAUGAAAGUAUGUGAAAAUUUAAUAAAAUACCUUUUCCUAAAAAUUAAAAAUAAAUAAAUAGGCUUAAAAGGAUUGAAAAAGAAUACUUUCAGUUACUUUCCUGGUACUGGUUUGGGGAAGACUAAUAAUGAUCUCAAUGAAACAGAAUGGUAACAGUAAUGUUUUGACUGUAAACUACCUUCCUCCAUCCCCAGCUCCCCAGCACAAUCACUGGAAGCUUCAUUUUAAUUUCCGUCAAGAAUCUGAAUGAUUUAAAUGCUUAUUCUAACAUUUGCUCUAUCUCCUUUCAUCCAAGGAUCCUCCGCCCUGUACUGACCAUCCCGAAGCUUUUAUAGAAGGUAUUUCUGAGUCAUUACCUUCACUACUUCAAUACCAGCUCAACACAAUUAUAUUAUAGAAAAAAGUAAAUGUAAAUGCAGUUGUCAUGAUGAGGAGAGGAUUGUGUAAAGUUUAACUGUGAAAACAAUUGAUAUAAUGCAUCAGUGGAAAUGUUUGGGGAUAGUAGCCCCAAGGACAAUGUUUAAGAUGAGAGGAGAGUCAAGGAUGGAACAAGACAUGAAAAUGCUGCUUUAGCUUGUCAGCUUCUGUCAGAUCUUAACCACAUGCUGUCAUUUCUAAGAAUAUGUAUGAAAAAUGACUUGAAGUAUCCAACAAGUGCCUUCUGCCUGGAUUAGUGGAAGUUCCCACCAGUGGAAAGGGCGACGUUAAGGUGAAGUGAAGUUUAAACAGGAAGGUCUUCUCUGGCUAUAAUAAAAGGAAGAAAGAA